AGUGAACGCUGGCGGUAGGCCUAACACAUGCAAGUCUAACGGCAGCACAGUAAGAGCUUGCUCUUACGGGUGGUGAGUGGCGGACGGGUGAGGAAUACAUCGGAAUCUACUUUUUCGUGGGGGAUAACGUAGGGAAACUUACGCUAAUACCGCAUACGACCUACGGGUGAAAGCAGGGGAUCUUCGGACCUUGCGCGAUUGAAUGAGCCGAUGUCGGAUUAGCUAGUUGGCGGGGUAAAGGCCCACCAAGGCGACGAUCCGUAGCUGGUCUGAGAGGAUGAUGAGCCACACUGGAACUGAGGCACGGUCCAGACUCCUACGGGAGGCAGCAGUGGGGAAUAUUGGACAAUGGGCGCAAGCCUGAUCCAGCCAUACCGCGUGGGUGAAGAAGGCCUUCGGGUUGUAAAGCCCUUUUGUUGGGAAAGAAAAGCAGCAGGUUAAUACCCCACUGUUCUGACGGUACCCAAAGAAUAAGCACCGGCUAACUUCGUG
rnacentral:rRNA from 1 species